rnacentral:lncRNA from 1 species
CUUUUAUAAUUUUAUCAGAUAUAUCGAAGCAAAAUGGAAAAGAACCCCACGGCUCCAGAAAAGAAUGUUAUGGAAUAUAAGCAGAGCAAAUCUUGUACAUAUACGGUAUUAGUCCAUAUACGUUUAUUUGAUUAACAUAGCAUAACACCCCGUACAAAUUAAGAUCAGGAUUUCACUUUUCACUACUACAAAACAUACAUGAUAUAGCAAACCAGCAUUUUAUUUUAGUAGAACGAUAGCAUUUGUGCAUGCUUAGCAACGUCCGCCAUGGCCGCCAUGCGAGCCACCACCAUGGUGACCAGGACCGCCUGCUGGAGGACCAUGGUGACCCGGACCACCUGCUGGAGGUCCAUGCUGACCCGGACCACCUGCUGGAGGUCCAUGGCCCCCCUCCGGGCCACAACCAUGACCAGGACCGCCUGCUGGAGGUCCAUGUUGGCCCGGACCACCUGGAGGAGGUCCAUGCUGACCGGGACCACCUGCUGGAGGUCCAUGGUGUCCACCGUGGUCGCCGCCCGGGCCACCUACUGGAUGUCCAUCAUGGCCUGGUGGAGGUCCUUGGGGACAGGGAGGAGGCGGAGCCUGAUGCUGAUGAAUCCCUGGUGGUGGAGGUCCGUGAGGAUGAUCGUGCAUCUUAUCUGCUGUUGUAGUUGGUAUCGUUCUCUGCUUUGCUUCUUGCUGGUGCGGUGAAACGGUUUGAGAGGACUAUUGGAUUUAUAGUAGUGCGGUCCUUGUUUUCAUUAUUUUUUGGCCAGAAUGGUCCCAGACUUGCAGAUAAGGUUAUUACCAUGAGAACUUUGGUCGGAGGUUGUUUAAUGCAUACCUUACACGUUGUUGACGUGACCAUUUGUUGGGAUAUUUCCAUUGGUAUGUGGUUGUUAUUCUCCAUUGACAUGAUGAGGCCAACAACCUUAUCUUUC